rnacentral:piRNA from 1 species
UGAUGAUACGAUGUUUACAUAAAGAGACAA